rnacentral:rRNA from 1 species
AUUGAACGCUGGCGGCAGGCUUAACACAUGCAAGUCGAGCGGGGGAAGGUAGCUUGCUACCGGACCCAGCGGCGGACGGGUGAGUAAUGCUUAGGAAUCUGCCUACUAGUGGGGGACGACAUCUCGAAAGGGAUGCUAAUACCGCAUACGUCCUACGGGAGAAAGCAGGGGAUCUUCGGACCUUGCGCUAAUAGAUGAGCCUAAGUCGGAUUAGCUAGUUGGUGGGGUAAAGGCCUACCAAGGCGACGAUCUGUAGCGGGUCUGAGAGGAUGAUCCGCCACACUGGGACUGAGACACGGCCCAGACUCCUACGGGAGGCAGCAGUGGGGAAUAUUGGACAAUGGGGGGAACCCUGAUCCAGCCAUGCCGCGUGUGUGAAGAAGGCCUUAUGGUUGUAAAGCACUUUAAGCGAGGAGGAGGCUACUUUAGUUAAUACCUAGAGAUAGUGGACGUUACUCGCAGAAUAAGCACCGGCUAACUCUGUGCCAGCCGCCGCAGUAA